CGCUAUCACUCCUACGGGAGGCAGCAGUGGGGAAUAUUGCACAAUGGGGGAAACCCUGAUGCAGCCAUGCCGCGUGUGUGAAGAAGGCCUUCGGGUUGUAAAGCACUUUCAGUAGGGAGGAAGGUAGUGUAGUUAACACCUGCACUAUUUGACGUUACCUACAGAAGAAGCACCGGCUAACUCCGUGCCAGCAGCCGCGGUAAUACGGAGGGUGCGAGCGUUAAUCGGAAUUACUGGGCGUAAAAGCGCAUGCAGGCGGCCUGUUAAGUCAGAUGUGAAAGCCCGGGGCUUAACCUCGGAAUUGCAUUUGAAACUGGCAGGCUAGAGUCUUGUAGAGGGGGUAGAAUUUCAGGUGUAGCGGUGAAAUGCGUAGAGAUCUGAAGGAAUACCAGUGGCGAAGGCGGCCCCCUGGACAAAGACUGACGCUCAGAUGCGAAAGCGGUGGGGAGCAAACAGGAUUAGAUACCCUGGUAG
rnacentral:rRNA from 1 species